GUCUAGGGAGGCCAGUUGCAAGUGUUAACAACUCCCACUGAAGACCCAGCCAACUGAGUCAAUUCUGAACAUUGUUUCCACCAACCGCGCUAAUACAGGAAGGAAAAGAGCUACCUCCUUUUGGAUGAAGCCUAACAAGCAACCAAUCCAACACAGAAAAUGAAGGAACAUUUUUGACCCAAUUUGCUCUUCAUAAGACCAGAAAAGCACGACGUAGCUAUGAGAAGAUGCAAUUAUUUUUCACUCCUGCGCAUAGGUCUACUUCAAAGGGAAAGGUAAUUUCCUGUUUUUAUACUUAUAUAAACAAGAAUGAAGAGAAACAGUAACUCAUGCUGCUUAUAGAACAAAAGUUUUUUAUGCAAGAAUGAAGUAAAUAUUUGUUACUCAGGUAAGAUGACAUAUAACUUUUCUGUAAAGACAUCUGAUUAGAUGAAAAUGAAC
rnacentral:lncRNA from 1 species